ensembl:lncRNA
AUGAACCUAACGAUGUUGGGACGCUCCUUGGAUAUUUUUGCACCCUUAAUCAUCUGUUGUUCUAUCAUCUGCUUUGUGACCUUGUGCUGCUUCUGCUGCAAGAAGUGUCGGACAAGAGGAAACCAAAAUGUGAAUGCCACCUUAGUCUACACACCACCCCAGCAGCCAAUCCCCCCCUCUGGAUAUCAGCCAUCCUACCCAGGCUUCCAGCCUGUACCUGUCUAUGGAGACGGGUAUGGACAUGGAGGAUAUGGAGGCCCACCCAUCACUCCAGGACCACCACCCUCAUAUUUGGAAGCCAGUGAGUUAAUUCAUGACAUCAUUCACUUUAAUAAUGAAUCUAAGCAGUGACUGAGACACACUCAGUUAUCCAAGCUAGUGUUGUUUCAAAAAAAGGUUCUAGACUAGACAGACUAGAAAUCAAGUCAUAGAGUCGUCCUGUUUACUAUAAUAAUCAACAUUAUGGGUAACGAUUGUCCCAGAUUUUAGUCAAACUCUCAUGUGUUGUCAGGGAAGCAGAGUUAUAACUUGUGAAAAACUACAGAUUUUUCAUAUAAACCAGAUAUGCCCUUCAAUGUGACCUUCAUCAGUUUUACUGAUACUUAUUAAUGGACAACAGAGUCCAGAACUGGAUGCCUCUUCAGACAUUAUCCCUUACAUGAAUGAGUGACACCUUUGAACCGGGUGACAUGUUCCUCCAUUACCAUGGUCACUUUAUACAGUAACGUUUGUUAAGAACUACACUGGCUAGAUAUUUAAGAAACUUAGAAACUAUUUUAAUGUCUUAUGUUUUUAAAGGAUAAGGAGGUGCUGUAAUUCGACAUGUUUGACAAAAACAAACAUAUACACCACUAUUAACACUUCAUGAUUAUUGUUACGGGCCAUCAUUUUUCAGUAACAGCAAACCAAAUAUGUGUUUCUGUCUUUUCAGCUGAUCCAGCUCUCUUCCCAGCUGCAUUCGGUCCACCACAGCCGAUGUACCCCUACCCCGGGCAGCCUUAUGUCCCGCCACCACGGUCAGAUGAACUGGCACAGCCGGCCUACAACCCCGCUUAUGGUCCAUUCCCCUAAAACCAGCUCAUUAGACCGAAACACUCCUUGUUUUAAAAACCCCGGCUGCACCACCAUUCUCACUGGAAUGUGAAAUGUGUGGCUUGUGUUGUUUUGAUACAAUGGAAACUCCCAUUUUAAUGAAAUACAGCAUAUCUCAGGAAUAUAUAAGUAUAUAUAUCUAUAUAUAUCUAUAUAUACAUCUAUAUAUAUAUCUAUCUAUAUAUCUUUCUAUAUAGAUAGAUAGAUAGAUAGAUAGAUAGAUAGAUAUAUAUGGAAAUAUUUACAUAUAUUGUGUAUUUAAACCAGUAAAGUUCAUCACUUUAUCUUUCUGUGUAGACCUAUGUGAACACGAGCUUCAGGACUGGCCAUUUGUCAGGACCAAGUUGUGGGGCCGUUAGAUCGAUUGAAAUUGUAGUGAAUUUAUGAUGCCUCUGUUGUGAUAAACCCCAGCGGCCACUAGAGGUCACCUCUGCCUCAGGGUUAUUCUCUUUAGAAAGCGAGGGGAACAGAGUGGCGGAACAUUGUUUGCCGCAUGCAGGUGCCAAAUCUUGUUAUCAGUCUUUUAUUGUUACUUUGUAAAAGCCUAGUUUGCUGUUACUAAGUGAGUAGUUAACUGCUGAUAAAUGAAUAUUCAAGUAUGUAGUAAUCUUAAUUAAAGGUGCACUAUGCAGUUUUAGGGGUGACCUUUUAAUCAGAAGAGAAAAGUCAUAACUGAAUAAACUAUCCUCAAAGGACAAGAUCAUUUCAUAGUAUUACAUUGUUCAUAUGUGCAGGAGGAAGUAGCUAUGUUUUUAGCUUCACACAGUGUUCUGGGGACCUUAUACCCCUCUGACAAAGACUUAUACAUCAAAUACAUAUUUCUUACUGAUAUUGUGAAUGUUACUUUAAUUUGAAUUUCUUUCCUUUUAUCAUCAAAACUACAUAGUGCACCUUUAAACAACAUAAACGCUUAGUAGAGGUCUAGCAGUGAUGUAAUAAGUAAGUUAGUUAAGCUCAAAGUGUUCAAAAGUGUCUAUAGACUGCAAACAAGUGUUUUUUAAAAGAGCUCAAAAUGUCUUAAAAUCUACAAAAAUCUGUAGAUCUGUGGAUUUUGUUAAUUGGCAUCUUAUAAAGAUUAUAAGGGGCCUUAAAACUUUUAACUAACACCAACACUUUCAAGGAUCUUUAUAUAAAGCGUUGCCACUGGGAAAUUUUGAUUCUUCCACUGCAUCAAAGCAAUGGAGACUUUAACUACUGUUGCUUCUUAAACUCACUUCCAAUGAACUUACAGAAACCGUAAAGUCGCAACUCAUUGUUAUCACCUGCAGUGAGGACGAAACCGCUGUGCUCUGCUAAGUUUAGCCUCUUCCUGUGGGAUCACGUGCAGAUAAAUAGCCACGGUGGGUGUGCUCGCAUUUAAUCCCAUAAUAACCAGCGCCGCUCCCUCUUACAGCAUCCCGCACUAUCCAUUAAUCAAUACAGUAAUAGUGCUGACUGUGGCUGUCUCAGUGAUCGUAGCGGCCGGGGGGCUAUAACAGGAGAGAUGACCCUGCCCGUACAUACUGCUCCCUGCUCCAACAUCUAAAAUAAGAUCUCUCUCUCCUUGAAGUGUGGCUCAGACUGCUAAUGAGCACUGGUGUCGGGAUGCCUGUGUCAUGGAGCAUGUGGCAAAUAAUCUUUACAGCCAGUUCUCCUCCUCUCCAUCCCUUUCUUCUCCUCUCUUUCCCUUUCUUCCAUCCCUCCCUCUGACCGUGCUUUGUUCCGUCUAAAGGCAUUUUUGUCUGGCCUCCUGCCCGAGCUGCCAUUAAGAUGUUUUCAGCAUUUUCUCGACGUCCCACACCAUUCCUCACGUCUCUUCCCCCUUUUCUAUUCUGCUCAGAGGAAUCCUUCUGGCAUUUACCAUAUGUAUCUCAUAUCAGAGAUCGAGAACAGACACGAUGCCUGUCAAAAAUCAACCUUUAUUGAUGAGAUUUUAAAUAAUGGGCUCUGCAUGCAGUGUGUGUGGGAGCAUAAACUCCCUAAUGCGUGACAUCGCUUCUGCCAAGAUGCUCCUAAGAGAUACAAGCAUGCUGAACUCUCCCACACGCUCAGAUGGAAACACAAACAGACCGGACAGCAUUAUUCAUGUUUUGUUAUUUUUUUUUAAAAUGUGUUCCAUCACCAAAGGUUGAGUGUUAAAAAAAAGUUUACAACAUUAUUUAUAUUUGAUAUUUUUACUGUCUUUGACCAUUUAACAGGUUUCUACUGACAUACAGAUAUUCCUUUCAACCCGAGCCAUUACACUACCAAGAUUCUCUCUAGUGUUGUGUCUUUUGUGAAGUUAUCUGUCCAUGUUUGUACUAUUAUACAAAUGUUAUUUCAUUUUGCUGGCCCUCUUGAUCAGGACAGUCCUCUCUGGAUCAAAUAUAGGAUAAAUUAUAUUAAUGCGAUUGACUCUGAUGAUCCUUAGACUUUUAUUUUAACGCCACGAGGAGGUUGAAGUUUGUAUUUUUAGCUUAAUGUUUUUUUAAAUCUUGUUUAAUGUAUGACAUCUAUUUUUCUAUUGUGUAUUGGAUAUUUGUACAUUGUUAUGUGUAAUGUUGCUGUUUCUGUUAUCUGCCAGAGGACUACUGAAGGACAUCUGCAUUCUUGCUAAGUCAUGUUUACAUCACAUGUUUUUAAUGAUGUUCAUUAACUUGUUCUGUCUCCUUCAAAUAGACAAAUAAAAUAAUAUAACAAUGAAAAAAUGCUCACCUCGAGAUGAAUCCCAAUAAUUCAUAAAGUCAGCAUUUUAUUUUGCCUACAGUAGAAUAUCUUCAGCUGUGCUUUGUGGUUGGUGCCAAUAAGCUAAUGUUAGCAUGCUAAUACAGCACACGGUGCACACCAACAUGUAUACAUUGUCAUCACAAGAGGUUUUUUCGCUUACCCUUGCUGAUAGAAAUGGGGUGGAUAAAAUAAUAGAAACACCUGUCAGUAAAGUGCAACACCAAUAAUCAACACAACGAACUGCAGCCUCCAAACUAACCGUAAGUUGGACACAUUCAAACAGUUUUUGAACAAAAACCGAACAUUAUUGUGGGACUUCUGUAUUAAACUGCAGUUUAUAAUAAUUUAGUGACUGAGCGUAUAGUCAGUAUGUAGUUAACACUACAUGAGGGUGACGGGGUGCAGAGAGUUUUUGAUAUUAAGAAUUGGUGCCCUCCAGUAACCUGGUGUGUCUGUGUGUGUGUCAGUAGACAUUGAAGAUAGUGCCCAGAGACACUAAUCCUAUGUCGGUUUUAAUCCUCUUCAGGGUUUUUUCUAACUUUGCAGCCUCUUGAAGCUAAUUUCACCAAAAAGGUCUGCCACAUGGUUUGUCAAAUGGAGGCUCUCUGCAAGAACAUCGAGGAUAAACUGAAGGAACCUUCCAGAUGUGUUUUACAAGGUUUAUAAAACACCUUACUUUGACUGAUAAUGUGUUUUAGAUUUCACCAAGAUGUUGUAUUAAUAAAACACUU